UCUCGGCCGGUUAAGGCUUGCGGGGGAAGAUGGAGUAUCCGGUGCUGGGCAUCGCGGAGGCCGCGGACAGCGGCGGGGCUCGGCCAUACAACAGCUCGGAGGAGCGGGAGGGCCGGGAACCGGACGGGCCGCGCUUCGACCGCGAGAGGGCGCGCCGCCUCUGGGAAGCAGUGUCCGGGGCCCAGCCAGUGGGGAGGGAGGAAGUGGAACACAUGAUCCAGAAGAACCAGUGUCUCUUCACCAACACCCAGUGUAAAGUUUGCUGCGCCUUGCUAAUUUCUGAGUCCCAGAAGCUGGCACACUACCAGAGCAAAAAACAUGCCAACAAAGUGAAGAGAUACCUAGCAAUCCAUGGAAUGGAGACGUUAAAGGGGGAAACGAAGAAGCUAGACUCAGAUCAGAAGAGCAGCAGAAGCAAAGACAAGAACCAGUGCUGCCCCAUCUGUAACAUGACCUUUUCCUCCCCUGUCGUGGCCCAGUCGCACUACCUGGGGAAGACCCACGCAAAGAACUUAAAGCUGAAGCAGCAAUCCACUAAGGUGGAAGCUCUGUCGAAACGCCUUACAAACCCUUUCCUUGUGGCCUCCACCUUAGCACUGCACCAGAAUAGAGAGAUGAUAGACCCAGACAAGUUCUGCAGCCUCUGCCACGCGACUUUCAAUGACCCUGCCAUGGCUCAGCAACAUUAUAUGGGCAAGAAACACAGGAAGCAGGAGACCAAGCUCAAACUUAUAGCACACUAUGGGCGGCUGGCCGACCCUGCAGUCACUGACUCAUCAGCUGGGAAGGGCUACCCCUGCAAGACAUGUAAGAUAGUGCUGAACUCCAUAGAACAGUACCAAGCUCACGUCAGCGGCUUCAAACACAAGAACCAGUCACCAAAAACAGUGGCAUCACCUCUGGGCCAGAUUCCCAUGCAAAGGCAACCCAUUCAGAAAGACUCAACCACCUUGGAAAACUAGAGGUGUUUCUGUCCAGCACCCCAGGUUGAACCAGCCGUGAGCCAGCUUCCUGUGACUAUGAAAUGAGCUGGGAAAGGAGUGCAUGUGAUGGCAUCAGAAGCCCUUUGUACAACCUUCACUUCAGACAGCCAGAUCUGAGGAUGGUGCCCAGGCAGCCUCAGCUCCCAUCCUUCACUCAGAAAACUGUUCUUAGGCACCUGCUCUUCGCCAGCUGGGAAAGACCCUACACAGCUCUCCACUUCCAAAGCCUGGACUGCCUUAGCAAUUUCCCCGGAGUCCUUCUGCUCCACCUGAGAUGUCGCAGUCAGCCCCGUCUACCAGGCACGGAAGUGAAGGGCAGAGAGGUGAGAGGGCUGCCACACUGUGAGCCUUGACCUGCAGGACCUCUUCGUCUGCUUUUUUUUUUUUUCUUCUUUUUUUUCUUUUUCUCUUUUUUGGCCAUGCCGCCUGUGGCAUGUGGGAUCUUAGCUCCCUGACCAGGGAUUGAACCCACACCCCCCUGCAUUGGAGGGCAGAGUCUUAACCACUGGACCUCCAGGGACAUCCCAGGACCUCUUAGUCUGGGUUCAGGAGUCCCUGCCAGCUGUGUGGCCAGCCCUGUUGGCCUGGGCACGCAGGAAUGAACACUCUUGCCCUUGGGGAGCUAUACACUGUUAAAGAUGGUUAUGGAGAGUGGUAGAGGGUUAUACAGGGAGCUGUGGGGAUGCAUAAGAUACAGGCACUAACUCAGCCAAGGGUAUGAAAAACUGAAGUUGGGAAACUAGCAUUUCAGCUAGAUGAUGAUAUUCCAUUUUACAGGAAAGGAACAAGGCUCAAAGAGAUAUAGUGACUUACUCAAGUCUUGCUGCUAAGAAGCAGCAAACUAGAGGGUGGAAUCUGGUUCUCUAGAUUCCUAGUCAAGAACCCUUUACAAACAAGGGCCAGAGUACUUCACACAUGACCUUGGGCCUGCCUCACUCAUCUGGCAGGGCCAGGUCUCACAGAACAAAUAGCCCCUCGGCAGCGGCAGCAGCAGAACCCACAAAACGGAUUGGACAAGGCUCGAUGGUUAUUUUAUACUCCUAGCCCCCACACACACCUCUCAUAAUUUUACCCAAGAUUCCUGAUGUGUUAGACUCUAGUUAUAACUGUAAGAAACUUAAAGCAGUUAUCUAAAAAAGGAAAUGUAUUGAUUCACCUAAGGAACAAUCCUUGUACAGGGGUGGCUUAGAUUCAGCUUCUGGCACUGCCAUCAGGAAGAAUUUAAUCUCACUCUGCUUUCCUCUGUGUGGCCUCUUGCCCGGGCAGACUUUCUCCAGAAGUUGGAGAGGGCCCUGGCAGCUUCAGGUUUAUAUCGUGAUAGAUGAGUAGGUGCAGUGGAAAUAACGUCUUUUUCUUGGUUCCAGCAAAAAAUUCUGGAAUUGACUUAUUAGCCUGUUUGGAUCUGUUCCCGUCCCUACACCAAUUGUUGCAGCUGGGGGAAAUGGGGCUCUGAUCGGGGGCCUGCGAAGGCGUAUGCUCUACCUAAAACACAUUGACUGAAAGAGGGAGACAUGUACAUCCCUAAAAGAAGAAAGUGUGGACAUGGGCGGACACAAGUAACUGUUGUCAGCCAUACUCAGAGGGUAUCUUUAUUUGACCAUUUCUUUAAUUUUUUGACAUACAGCGUACAUUCAGCAGCGUGAGCCAACUUUUAGAGUACAGUUUGAUGAGUGUAGUGUAUACAUCCGGGCAGGCGCCAUCCAGAUCAAGAUACAAAACAUUGCCCGUUCCCCAGGAGGUUGCCUCAUUUCCCUUCCUAGUCAGUAUCCCGCGGAAGUGACGCUCUCUUGACCUCUGUCACUGUAGAUGAGUUUUGCUUGCUCUUGAAUUGUAUGAAAAGGGACUCACACACAGCCACUUUUGCUCUAUAUUAUAUCUGUGAGGUUCAGCCACACUACUGUGUAUAUCAGAAAUUCAUUUUUUUUUAAGUUCAUUUCCUUCAUGCUGUAUAGUAUUCCAUCAUAUGACCAUGCCACAGCUUAUCCAGUUUA